UCCAGACUCCUACGGGAGGCAGCAGUGGGGAAUAUUGCACAAUGGGGGGAAACCCUGAUGCAGCAACGCCGCGUGAGUGAGGAAGUAUUUCGGUAUGUAAAGCUCUAUCAGCAGGGAAGAAGAAAGACGGUACCUGACUAAGAAGCCCCGGCUAACUACGUGCCAGCAGCCGCGGUAAUACGUAGGGGGCAAGCGUUAUCCGGAUUUACUGGGUGUAAAGGGAGCGUAGACGGCAUGGCAAGCCAGAUGUGAAAUACCGGGGCUCAACCCCGGGACUGCAUUUGGAACUGUUAAGCUGGAGUGUCGGAGAGGCAGGCGGAAUUCCUAGUGUAGCGGUGAAAUGCGUAGAUAUUAGGAGGAACACCAGUGGCGAAGGCGGCCUGCUGGACGAUAACUGACGUUGAGGCUCGAAAGCGUGGGGAGCAAACAGGAUUAGAUACCCUAGUAG
rnacentral:rRNA from 1 species